rnacentral:rRNA from 1 species
UACGGAAUGUGCAAACGUUAUUCGGAAUCACUGGGCUUAAAGAGUCUGUAGGCGGUUUGUUAGGUGAGGUGUGAAAUCCCUCGGCCCAACCGAGGAAUUGCGCUUCAAACCGGCGAGCUAGAGGAGGAUAGAGGUGGGCGGAACUGAUGGUGGAGCGGUGAAAUGCGUUGAUAUCAUCAGGAACACCGGAGGCGAAAGCGGUCCACUGGGUCCUUUCUGACGCUGAUGGACGAAAGCUAGGGGAGCGAACGGG